rnacentral:rRNA from 1 species
CCUACGGGGGGCAGCAGUGGGGAAUAUUGGGCAAUGGGCGAAAGCCUGACCCAGCAACGCCGCGUGAGUGAAGAAGUAAUUCGUUAUGUAAAGCUCUAUCAGCAGGGAAGAAAAUGACGGUACCUGAGUAAGAAGCCCCGGCUAACUACGUGCCAGCAGCCGCGGUAAUACGUAGGGCGCAAGCGGUAUCCGGAUUUACUGGGUGGAAAGGGAGCGUAGACGGGAGUGCAAGUCUGGAGUGAAAGGCGGGGGCUCAACCCUCGGACUGCGCUGGAAACUGUACGGCUGGAGUGCAGGAGAGGUAAGUGGAAUUCCUGGUGUAGCGGUGAAAUGCGUAGAUAUUAGGAGGAACACCGGUGGCGAAGGCAGCUUACUGGAGUGUAACUGACGUUGAGGCUCGAAAGCGUGGGGAGCGAACAGGAUUAGAUACCCCGGUAGUC